UUAAAAAAGGCCUACGGUAUAGGUAUUUCUAUUUCCAUUUUCCAGAAAACUACCUAAUCUUUGAGGUGUCAGUGACUUUCUCAAGGUCACAAAGCUAGGAAAUGGCAGGGCCAGAAUCUGUGCCCAGGGAACAAGUCAGCAGUCUUAAUACCUGGCGCUCCUCCUCAGCUGUGUUACUAAGGAUGGAGACGGGUCCCUUACAGAAAGGUGGACAUUGUCAGCAUUGCACCUGGGGCUCGGAGGAGGCUGUGUGUUUGAGGGAGCACAUGUAAGCGGUGGGCUUUUGGCCCCCCAACUUCACUCCCUCCACACCCGUAUGCAUGGUGACCUCCCACAGAGAUGAAUUUCCACCUUCUCCAGCAUUUCUGGAUGUUGUUUCCUGUGCUUAAAAGGCCUGACCUGGUACAUCAGGCUACCCUCUGUUCACUCUCCCAUCACCAAGCCAUUGUUGGGCCUGCUCGGUGUCAGACCCUGCUGGAGAGAGGCUAGAGGGAUAAACAGACAUGACCUCCUCCCUCUGGAGCUCCUCCUCUGGGAGAUAAACGCACCAGGCCAACAAGGUCAGCACAGGUAAGAGGCCUGGGGCAGGGGGUGUGCCCUUCAAAAGGGUGUAGGAGAAGUGAACAUCACUGCCAUUUUCCAAUUAUUAAAAUGCCAUGUAGUGUAUAUUUUUUAAAGUCAAAGAUAAGUUCUAAUUGUUACCAGACCAGCAAUCUGAAAGCUCCUAGUAAAAUUUUCUCGCUGCUAUAAACUCUUUUCCCAUCUCAUCCUUCCCUCCCUCCCUCCUUACUUCUCAUCCCUUAGAGAUGUCAUGACCAACUCUUCCACCUCCUCCUGGCCAGGCACUAUGCUCAUUCCUCAUCCUUCAAACCCAGACUGCGGUCCCCUACAGAAGGACCUUCUUGAACCAUAAGUUUCCCAAGAAGUUGGAAUUAGGUAUCUUCCUUCUGCUCCUGCUGUCUCCUACCAGGAAUGAUUUCUGUGAGCUACCUAGACUGAGCACUCUUUACUACAGUGUUGCACAAGUAGUAGACAUAGUUGUUCAGUGAAUAUUUGCUCUAAAUACAGGUAAAUUAAAUUCAGGAAAAAAACAUAGUGAAUGCUACAGAAAGAAUUAUACAGAAAAAAAAAAGAGGGACUCAAUUAUACAGCUGUUAGAUCUUCUUGCCACCUGAGAUGCCAUGAGAUAUUUCAAGCUUUCUGAAUGCUGGAGUUACUCAGGGCAGCCUGCUGGCCCUGAUCCACCUUACCUGCUAAGCACCGACGGGAUGCUCUGACACAUCUCUUUACUUCAGACUCAUGAAGAAUAUCUGAUUUGGGCAAUGACUCUUCCUUGCCCUUGUCUUCAAAGGUAUUUGCAUCUCUGAUCUUUUUUUCUUUUUUAAAAAAAUAUUUUUUAGAUGUUGAUGGACCCUUAUUUUAUUCAUUUCUUUAUAUGUAGUGCUGAGAAUUGAACCCAGUGCCUCAUAUAUGCUAGGCAAGUUCUCAACCACUGAGCCACAACUGCAGCCCACAUCUCUGAUCUUUCAACUGAGUCAUGGAAGCCCAGAAUAAAGCUGCAUCUCCCAGAAACUCUCUGCAUCUCCCCAGCCUGGGGAGGCCAAUGGGAAGUCAUCCAUCACUACUGUGUGUCAUUUCUACAUCUGUCUUUAAAGACACAAGGCCUCCUGGACCCCUCCAGAACCUGCUGGCUAGAAUGUCUCCUGUUCACACAGUGAAAUAUCCAGACAAAAGCCAUGCCCAGGAGGUCAGGGAGCAAAGACAGAAGGAGGUAGAGUCCCUGGCAGGUGGGAAUCCUUAGCAGCCUUGGAAUGCUCACCUGCAGAAACAGAAGAGAGAGGCAGAAAUGACCAUCAAUCUUGUUUAAGACUUUUUUUUCUGGUCUCUGUAACAUGCAACCAUACCUAAUUAUUCUCAGAACAUGACACUUUGUUAUGGUUUCAAUAUGAGAUAUCCUCCAAAACUCAGGAGACAAUGUAGCCAUGAUCAGAGGUGAAAAGAUCAGAUUAUUAAGUGCUGUCACCUAAUCAGUGGAUUAAUCCACUUGAUGGAUUAAUAACUUGAAAGUAUUGCUUUCAGUAUUGGGUGGUCACUGUAGGCAGACAGGGCAUGGCUGGGGGAAGCAGGUCACUGGGGGUGUGCUUUUGAUGAUUAUUUUUGUGUCCUUGGUGCCUCCCUCUCUCUCCCUCUACUUCCUGUCAUAGACUGAGCAAGUUUUCUCUCCCGUACUCCGACCCCAGGACGCUCUGCCUCUCCUCAGACCCAGAGCAAUGGAGUUGGCAAACCAUAGGCUAAAACUUUGAAUCUGUGAGCCCAAAAUAAAUUUUGUUCUUAAGUGUUCUGGUCAGGUAAUUAAGUCACAGAAACAAAAACCUGCAUGACUUCAUAGGUCACCUAAUCUGAUGAUGUUCAACCUCUUCGGAGUCAAGAUAAUUUUAGAGUUUGAAGAAAGAAUUUUCCCUAAAAUGAGAAAAAGGGAGUGUCCACAGGGGAACAUGAGUCUUGUGGUUCAGCAUCCCUGGCUUGGAAUCUAAAGCCUGCAAAGACUCUAACCCUUGCUGAGGGUCACAUGGGAAACUGGAAACAGGUCAAGGACUAGGACUCAGCCUUCUUCCCACGAGCUUUGUCAUUCUCUAGAGAACACCCUCUGACAGCAGGGUAGAUGUUGGUCACUUCUCAACCACUACUUCUGGCAAAAAUGCCAUGCGUCAUCCUGACUGGGCUGUGGCCCUCAACAAGAAGUAGUCACUGAACCCCUCCUAGAGUCAGGCACAGGAGGUCACUCCUGUCAGUGGGGAGCUCACACCCAAUGGAGGAGUCAAACACUCAGUGGGUUGGAACAGUAACACAUUUAUAAUAACAAUUGGGGGUGAUUACUAAAGGAAAUGAAGAGGAUGGCAGUGGAGGAUGAUAGGGAGAUUCUCUGGGAGUCCGGGAAGACCGCUUUGUGGAGGCUCCAUUUAUGUUGCGCUGAGAAGAAGGAUCCAGACCUGUAAAGCAGGGUAGGGGAGUGUCUCGAGGCAGGGGAAAACCUGUGCAGAGAUCUCAGAAGGACAGAGCUAGAGCUGUGAAGAGCUGGCAGAAAGCUCAGAGUGUCUGAGUUCAGUAACUAGCCACAAGGGAGCGGUUGACCUGGGCAAAGCCAUGCAGGUCCAGUAGAUUCUCAGUGGGCCCUUAACAAAUUGGGGUCUUUAUCUUAAUGAAAAUGAGAAGCCAUUGAAAAGCCUCCAAGCUUCCUCUCCAGAGAGAGAAAUGAUAGGAUUCUGUGUUUUUUAAAGACCACUGUGGCUGCUGUUUGGAAAUGAAUGUGAUGGAGGGUGAGAUUAGAUAGGGGAAAACCAUCUGAAAGGCAGCCCAGCUCUGAAAUAAUGGCUGUCGCAGAUGGGUUUGAAAUGUGUUCUGGGUGUGGGAUAUAUUUUGGCUUUGUGGGGACUUGGUGUAGAGUGAGGAAGAGGGACAAAUGACAGAUGAGCUCAUAAGUCUCCUGAGAACCCUACAGGAUUCCCCUGUGGAAUUCAAGAGCAAAGAGAGUUCAGAUUCACUCUGAAGCUAUUAGAAGAUCCUUCUUGGCAGUUACUGACCUUCUGGCAACCUUUACAGAAUGAAAAAAGCAAGACAAGGUUAAACUCUGAAUUGCUUUGAUAAGCCAGACCCUUAAGAAAAGGGUGAAAGUUGCAAAUUCGGAAUAAGAUUUGAGCACAUGGCUGAUUUCAUUACAGUUCCAAAAGUUGGUUGUCCAGCCCCUGGAAGGAUCAUGUCUUCUCAUCCUCUCAUAAUUGACUGGGCCAUGUGACUCCCUUUGACCAAUGAAAUCCAAGAGAAAGUAAUGUUUGCCACAUCCAAGCUUUAAGAACCAGGUAUGGUUCCUCCAUCCCACCGUCUCCCUGCUCCUGGGACCAAGGUAGAGCAUGCUUCUCCAGCACCUGCCUCAAAUCAAGAUCAAAGAGCAGAGGUCAACCCACCUGGAGCUGGUGUGUACCUAAGAAAAUCUCAUCCUCCAACCAGCUCCCCCAGGCUCACUCACGUGGCAGGAUUUAAGCAGAAGCAAGAGAAAAUAACUGACAGCCAGUGCUUUUCAGCUCUUUCUUGUGUCACAAUGGCUAACAUCCAAGGCACGUCACAUGGCGAGGCCACUGAAUUGUUGGUGGAGCUCCUUGUGUUUUAAGUCACCUUUAUUGUCCUUCCCCUGCUCAUCCGUUUGUGGCUGACAAAUGAAAGAGCAGACUAAAUCAGGUGACCCCUGGAACUGGACUCAAGGAACAGGAAAAGUGACGGGUGCCAUCCUGUGUUGUGUCCCUUUGUGAUUAAGGCACAUGAUGGUGAUGGAGCUUCCCCACUCCUGCUCAUGGCAGAUAAAUCAUGGCCUUCUCCUCAGCCGGAAAGACACUUGGGAGAGACACUCGCGCAAGAGAACAAGGAUGAGUCCACGCACUGCGGUUCGUGCCACCAAGUGUGGCAUAUGUACCAGCCAGCACUGAUAGUUGGGGACUCCAAGUCACGGGAUGAUAAAUGUCCACAGGAGAAAACUUAUGAGUACAGUUUCUGAAAGAGCCAACAUCAA